rnacentral:rRNA from 1 species
UACGGAGGAUGCGAGCGUUAUCCGGAUUUAUUGGGUUUAAAGGGUGCGUAGGCGGAUCGUUAAGUCGGUGGUCAAAUUGAGGGGCUCAACCCCUUCCCGCCAUUGAAACUGGCGCUCUUGAGUGGAAGAGAAGUAUGCGGAAUGCGUGGUGUAGCGGUGAAAUGCAUAGAUAUCACGCAGAACCCCGAUUGCGAAGGCAGCAUGCCGGCUUCCGACUGACGCUGAAGCACGAAAGCGUGGGGAUCGAACAGG